rnacentral:rRNA from 1 species
AACGAACGCUGGCGGCAGGCCUAACACAUGCAAGUCGAACGAACCUUCGGGUUAGUGGCGCACGGGUGCGUAACACCGUGGGAAUAUACAUUUCGGUAAGGAAUAACACAGAGAAAUUUGUGCUAAUACCUUAUAAUGACUCCGGUCCAAAGAUUUAUCGCCGAAGGAUUAGCCCGCGCUAGAUUAGUUUGUUGGUGAGGUAAGAGCUCACCAAGACUACGAUCUAUAGCUGGUCUUAGAGGAUGAUCAGCCACACUGGAACUGAGACACGGUCCAGACUCCUACGGGAGGCAGCAGUGAGGAAUAUUGGACAAUGGGGCAACCCUGAUCCAGCCAUGCCGCGUGAAUGAAGAAGGCCUUAGGGUUGUAAAAUUCUUUCAGAUGCGAAGAUAAUGACGGUACCAUCAGAAGAAGCUCCGGCUAAAUUCGUGCCAGCAGCCGCGGUAAUGUCAGGGACU